rnacentral:tRNA from 2 species
GGAGAGGUGCUGGAGCUGGCUGAACAGGGCGGCCUGCUAAGCCGUUGUAGGGAUAAUUCCCUACCGAGGGUUCGAAUCCCUCCCUCUCCGCCA